UACAGAGGUCUCAAGCGUUGUUCGGAUUCAUUGGGCGUAAAGGGUGCGUAGGUGGCGGGGCCAGUCAGGUGUGAAAUCCCGGGGCUUAACCCUGGAACUGCAUUUGAUACUGCCUUGCUGGAGAACUGGAGAGGAGACUGGAAUUUACGGUGUAGCAGUGAAAUGCGUAGAGAUCGUAAGGAAGACCAGUGGCGAAGGCGAGUCUCUGGACAGUUACUGACACUGAGGCACGAAGGCCAGGGGGAGCAAACGGG
rnacentral:rRNA from 1 species